UCCGAUGAAGAUGAGCAAGACUUGGUCAG
rnacentral:piRNA from 1 species